rnacentral:rRNA from 1 species
CCUACGGGAGGCAGCAGUGGGGAAUAUUGGGCAAUGGGCGCAAGCCUGACCCAGCAACGCCGCGUGAAGGAAGAAGGCUUUCGGGUUGUAAACUUCUUUUCUGAAGGACGCAGAAAGUGACGGUACCUCAGGAAUAAGCCACGGCUAACUACGUGCCAGCAGCCGCGGUAAUACGUAGGGGGCAGGCGUUAUGCGGAUUUACUGGGUGUAAAGGGGGCGCAGACGGCAAUGCAAGCCAGGAGUGAAAGCCCGGGGCCCAACCCCGGGACUGCUCUUGGAACUGCAUGGCUGGAGUAGGGGAGAGGCAGGCGGAAUGCCUAGUGUAGCGGUGAAAUGCGUAGAUAUUAGGAAGAACACCGGUGGCGAAGGCGGCCUGCUGGAGUGUGACUGACGUUGAGGCCCGAAGGCGUGGGGAGCAAACAGGAUUAGAUACCCGGGUAGUC